UACGAAGGGGGCUAGCGUUGUUCGGAAUUACUGGGCGUAAAGGGCGCGCAGGCGGCUCUUCAAGUCAGAUGUGAAAGCCCCGGGCUCAACCUGGGAACUGCAUUUGAGACUGGAGAGCUUGAGUUCGGGAGAGGAGAGCGGAAUUCCCAGUGUAGAGGUGAAAUUCGUAGAUAUUCGCAAGAACACCAGUGGCGAAGGCGGCUCACUGGCCCGAUACUGACGCUGAGGCACGGAAAGCGUGGGGAGCAAACAGG
rnacentral:rRNA from 1 species